rnacentral:rRNA from 1 species
GAUGAACGCUGGCGGCGUGCUUAACACAUGCAAGUCGAACGAAGCGCUUAAGCUGAUUUCUUCGGAUUGAUUCUUGAGUGACUGAGUGGGCGAGGGUCGAAGGUACGCGUAGGGUAACCUGCCUCAUACAGGGGAUAACAGUCAGAAAUGGCUGCUAAUACCGCAUAAGCGCACAGUACCGCAUGGUACAGUGUGAAAAACUCCGGUAGUAUGAGAUUGGACCCGCGUCUGAUUAGCUGGUUGGUGGGGUAACGGCCCACCAAGGCGACGAUCAGUAGCCGGCCUGAGAGGGUGAACGGCCACAUCGGGACUGAGACACGGCCCAA